UACAGAGGUCCCAAGCGUUGUUCGGAUUCAUUGGGCGUAAAGGGUGCGUAGGCGGCGCGGUAAGUCGGGUGUGAAAUCUCGGAGCUUAACUCCGAAACUGCAUUCGAUACUGCCGUGCUUUGAGGACUGGAGAGGAGACUGGAAUUUACGGUGUAAGCGGUGAAAUCGUAGAUAUCGUAAGGAAGACCAUGGCGAAGGCGGGUCUCUGGAACAGUUCCUGACGUGAGGCACGAAGGCCAGGGGAGCAAACGGG
rnacentral:rRNA from 1 species